ACGGGGGUGGUAAAGGAGUCCACCUUUCCUCUCAGCAGCCUUUCCACAAUUUCUAAAACACGUGUCCUUGGUAAGAGACGGCCUCUUCUGCCCGUAGCUGAGACUUCUGGGGUAAUGGUGCUGCACUCUGACUGGGAGAGGGUGUUGGGAGGAGUUCUUAGAGGGGUAACACGACCCACUUCCGAACAGGUCACCCCGCCCUAGGACUCACCCUGACUGGUCAAAUCUCCUCUCUGGGAGGUCCUAUCAGGGCAAAACCCAUGGUGAUUGGUAGAGGGAAGUGGGAGGAGUUCUUACAGGGGUCACAGAAGGCACCUUGCUUAUAAUCAUGUGGCUGCUUUGACCCCGGAAGUAAUACCCUCUGGGGCGGGACUUCCUUUGACAGGUGGGCGGGGUUUGACGGGUCAAAGGGUGGGGCUUAAUGGGUCAAGGGACAGGGUUAGGGUUGGAUUGACUUUAGGACCCUUAUGUUACUAGCCUGCAUGUAGUGACUCGGGGUGGCUCCCCUCCUGCCCAGCAGAGGGAGAGCCCUUACAGACACCCAAGUGGGCGGAGUCACCGACGCCUGUUCCUGCACCCCGGAAGUCAAGGGGCGGUACAGGAAGUGUAAAAGCUGGCUGCCAGAGCUCAGUGAGGCCCAGCCACCGCAGGGAGCAGACGUGCGGCCGGGAGACCUCCGAGGCCCGAGGCUGUUGCCCUAACUAGCUUGAGCUACCCCGAGCCCACUACGAGGAGGAGCCGCUGGAGCCCGUCCGCUCCCGUCAUUGGGAGGAGCAGUCAGACCUGCCCCACGCCAACUACGAAGGCGAGGAGUCCCCAGAGCCCCUCCGCCCCUGCUGUUACCCGGAGGAGCCACCGGAGCCUCAGUGGCCGGAUUUCCCCGAGGAGCUGCCAGACCUGCCCCCAAGUCCCGGACCAGAGGAACCGAUGUUGCUGGACUGGCCCGAGCCCGGCGUUUUUCGGGCAGGGUACCCCACUGACCAGCAGGUGUAGGAGCCUGCGCUUACCCCAACUGGGAUAUUGUUUGCUCAGCCCCUGCACCAGAGAGCCUGAGCUGUGACUGUUUGUGCCCCGCCCUGAUCCAGGGCCUGGGUCCUACCUGAACUUGCUGCUUGUUUGCUCAGCCCCUGCACCAGAGAGCCUGAGCUGUGACUGUUUGUGCCCCGCCCUGAUCCAGGGCCUGGGCCUCCCAACUGGCUGUUAUAUUGUUGCUCAGUCCCUGCACCAAAGGGCCUGAGCUCCCUAACUCACUACAGUUGCUCAGCCCCUGCACCAGAGGGCCUGAGCCCUGAACUAACUGGUUGUUUGUUCCACCAGUAGUGAGUCGGUGUGGCUCCCCUCCUGCCCAGGAGGGUCGAGCCCCGGCACGAACCUUCUACACUGCAGUUAUAUCACUUCAGAUCAAGAUAACCUUUGGAAGAUAAAUAGUUUUCAUGACUAGGAAUGAAAACUAUAUGCUCACUAUUUUUUGUCAAAAUAAUUUGUAUAAUACU
rnacentral:lncRNA from 1 species